rnacentral:rRNA from 1 species
GACGAACGCUGGCGGCGUGCUUAACACAUGCAAGUCGAACGGAAAGGCCCUGCUUGCCGGGUACUCGAGUGGCGAACGGGUGAGUAACACGUGGGUGAUCUGCCCUGCACUUCGGGAUAAGCCUGGGAAACUGGGUCUAAUACCGGAUAGGAGCCAUUUUUAGUGUGAUGGUUGGAAAGUUUUUUCGGUGUAGGAUGAGCUCGCGGCCUAUCAGCUUGUUGGUGGGGUAAUGGCCUACCAAGGCGGCGACGGGUAGCCGGCCUGAGAGGGUGGACGGCCACAUUGGGACUGAGAGACGGCCCAGACUCCUACGGGAGGCAGCAGUGGGGAAGAUUGCACAAUGGGCGCAAGCCUGAUGCAGCGACGCCGCGGGGGGGAUGACGGCCUUCGGGUUGGAAACUCCGUUCGCUAGGGACGAAGCUUUUUGUGACGGUACCUAGAGAAGAAGCACCGGCUAACUACGUG